GUACCCCUUGGUUCAUGCCCGUGAUGCUCUACUCAGCACUGAAGCCGGAAGCCGGACAUUGACAGUGACUUGCCCCUGCCCCAAAGUCCUUCCUGCACCCCCUCGAGGGCCCCCGUCUCCUGGCCCUGGUGUCUGCUUUCCUCUCAGCUGCCGGGAACGUGUUAGUGUGCACUGUUCUCCUUUCCCUCACCUGCUGGUAUCAUGUUAGCGUGCACCGUUCUGCACACUUCCUUCCACCCACAGGCCGGGAUCAUGUUAGCAUGCACCGUUCUGCUCACUUCCUUCCACCCACAGGCCGGGAUCGUGUUAGUGUGCACCGUUCUGCUCACUUCCUUCCUCUCACAGGCCGGGAUCGUGUUAGCAUGCGCCGUUCUGCUCACUUCCUUCCACUUACCUGCCGGGAUCGUGUUAGCGUGCACCAUUCUGCUCACUUCCUUCCACCCACAGGCCAGGAUCGUGUUAGGGUGCGCCGUUCUGCUCACUUUCUUCCACCCACAGGCCGGGAUCGUGUUAGUGUGCACCGUUCUGCUCACUUCCUUCCUCUCACAGGCCGGGAUCGUGUUAGCGUGCGCCGUUCUGCUCACUUCCUUCCACCCACAGGCCGGGAUCGUGUUAGCGUGCACCAUUCUGCUCACUUCCUUCCACCCACAGGCCGGGAUCGUGUUAAUGUGCACUGUUCUGCUCACUUCCUUCCACCCACAUGCCGGGAUCGUGUUAGCGUGCGCCGUUCUGCACACUUCUUCCUCUCACCUGCUGGGAUCAUGUUAGCGUGCACCGUUCUGCUCAUGCCCACUUUCUUCCUCUGUGUACGUGUGUGUGGUUUUCGUAUCAGAAGUGGGUCGUACUCUGUGGACAUCUUUUUCCACUUAAAGUCAUGUCACAGCCAUUUUCCCAGUCCAGUAACAUGAAUGUACAAGAUUAGCAAACUUCCUCCUAGAGAUGGAGAGUUCAAGGCUUCUGCUCCGUGGCAGCCAUCCGUGCGCAUGCAUCACGGUAGGUGGGUUGGUCCCAGUGGCUUUGCUGAGACACGCUCUGCACAGGGGAGGUUUCUGAAACCGCCAGGGUGGGAGGCAGUGAGGCGGGUGGAGCAACAAGUGGGAACGAAGGAGCAGAGUCUAGGGCAAGCUCCUGGGUGGACAGCAGCUGCACUAUCUGUUGGAUGUGGGACUUCCCUCAUUGAUGAAAUGAAUAAGAGAAUCUUCCCCAUCCUGCUGUUGUUGGUGUUAAAACGGGUUAAUGCAUGAAAGCAACAGAGCCCGGCCUGCAGACAGUGCUUGGUAAGUCUCCUCUUCCCAGCAUGUUCAGCAGGAAGCCCUCAUUCCCUCUAGAAUGUAGAAGUCUUGCCAGCAGUGGCGUGUUUGUUCUCUGCCUGUUACCGACCUGACGGGAACAUAAAAUUGGUGUCUUCUGUAUAGAUUUCCUUCUUAUUGCCCCUCCUGUGGCUGAACAUGCCUUCCCCUAUGCUUGAAGUCUGUUCAUAUUUGUUCUGCUGUGGUAACUGCCCAUUCUUAUUCUCUAUCUAAUAAAGCAUUUCGUUUUGAAAAUAUUUUGUUGGCUUGUAAAAUAUUUGUACCUAUUAAGCACAGCAAACCUGUAACAUAUUCACUGUAAAUCAUUAUUCCUCAGGCAUCAUUUGCCAUUUAACUGUAUUUUUUUUCUUUUUGAUGUAACCUGCUAAAGUUUACAUUUUUAAAUCAGAAAUACUUGCACAUUUUAAAACGAAGACUCUUAUGCUCUAGCCUUUGAGAUCAUGCUUGGAAAGUCCUUUCCCACACCAAAAUUAUUUACAUUUUCAUCUCUUUUUCUCUGAGUACGUUUCCGUGUUUAAUUGACUGGGAAUGUAUUUCGAGAUGUGAUGUGAGACAAGGAUCUGAAAUGCUUCGCCCACUGAAUCAUGCACUGACCGAAACGCCACCUGUAUGAGUGCUAAAAUCAUUGUUGCUGGACCUCUGUCUGCACUGUUUAAAUUUACUGUUGUUUCUCACAUCAGCUUCUGUUGUUUUCAUGGUUGUAGUUCUCAUACUUUUAAUAUCUGUUGGAGCAAAUAAAGCCUCAUUUCUCAUCUUUCCCAAAAAUGUCUUAUGUAUGUGAACUUUGGUGUUAUUUGUCAAGUCUGAGCAUUCUCCCACCCCCAUAUUAAAGAAUGUUCUCUGGAGUUUGUCUGGAGGUUUUGUUUAACUUUUAGAUUCACAUCAGGAGAGUCUGUAUCUUCAUGGUAAGUGGUCUUCCCAUCUAAGACUAUUUCUUCAAGCUGUUUUUGAUAAAAAGCUGUGUGGUUUUUGUCUGUUUA